rnacentral:tRNA from 1 species
ACUUAAGUAUUUUAAUAUAAAAUAAUGAUUUGUGGUGUCAUAGAUAUGGUUACAUCUUAGGUUAUU